rnacentral:rRNA from 1 species
GUCUUAGGGCAGUAUCCUAAGUCAUACCUGCACACUGACAUAUUUAAAGAGCUGCAGUAAUUUAACUGUACUAAGGUAGCAUAAUAAUUUGCCUUGUAAUUUAAGGCUUGAAUGAAUGGUUUGACGUAAAGAAUUCUUUAUUUUAAAGUGUAAGAAAUUAUUGUUAGGUGAGAAUCCCUAAAUAAAUAAGGGGGACGAUAAGACCCUAUAAAAUUUUACCCAUUUAAAAAUUGUUAGGUUAUAUUAAAAUAGGGUUUAACUGGGACGGUUAUAAUUAAAAAUUUAACAUUUAUUUUUAAUACACUUUUAGGUGUAAAUAUUGACCUUUUUAAAAUCAAAAAAUAAAAAUUACUUUAGGGGUAACAGCGUAAUCUUUCUUAGAGUUCAUAUCGAAGGAAAGGUUUGCGACCUCGAUGUUGAAUUAAGAUUUUCCAUAGGAGCAAAAGCUAAUUGGGAAGGAUCGGUUCGGUCC